rnacentral:rRNA from 1 species
AUGGGCGGCACCACGGUGCUUCCGCCUGCUCUGCUCCCGCGCCGUAGCGCCGCCGCCGCUGCCGAUCUGCACUCCUGCUCCUCCCGCGUGCGCCUAAACCCUGCCUUGAUGGCCAACCCCGCUGCUGCCAAGACGCCAAAGCGUUCAGGAUCCGUGCGCGACGUGCAGUCGCCGGCGCCGAAGCGCGUACGCGGUGCCUGCUCCGGGGAAGAGCUCCAUGUCGCGGUCGGCACCAACAUCAACAACAGCAGCAAGCUUCCGUGUUCCAGCAUCAGCAAGGAUCCAAGAACCAGGCUCGCCGUCAUCAAGAACCAGGUCGCCGAAUCUCCGGAGAGCGCGACGGAAUCGAGGCCGCAGAUGAGCAUGCGCGAACUGAUCGAGAAAGCUCGCCUCACCAUGGCUCGCCUCGACAAGGCUCGCUCUGCCUCCGAAGAAGAGGCCAGCCGUCGGCGCGACAUC